rnacentral:misc_RNA from 1 species
GAAAUGCGAUAUGUAGUGUGAAUUGCAGAAUUCAGUGAAUCAUCGAAUCUUUGAACGCACAUUGCGCUCUCUGGUAUUCCGGGGAGCAUGCUCGUUUCAGAAUCAUUAACAUUCUCAAAGACACGGUAUGAACCUUCGGGUGGCGCCGUUCCUCUUUCGGAUGUGAGCCCGUUUGCUGUAAGGCAAUGGCUUGAAAAUGAUUGUGUUUGCAACCGGCUUUUUGGUUCGGUUCUCUCAAGUGCAACAGAUGUUAACUCAUUCGUUACCCUCUUGAUGAGAAGCGCUUCCACGGUCGGGAUGAUCUUACACUCAACCAAUCUAUACCUUCAGUGAUCCUUGGAUCAUUGUUUGAUAACUUGGUCUGAAAUCGAGCAAGAAAACCCGCUGAACUUAA